CACACUGUACAGUACGGUGAGAGUGCCAGAAAUUGUUUUACAACACUGUAUUAAAUUACUGCAGUAUGGGCAGAGAGAGGGAAAGGGAGGAAUAGAGAGAACAAGAGAGGGAGAGAGAGAGAGAGAGAGAGAGGGGGAGAGAGAGAGAGAGAGAGAGAGAGAGAGAGAGAGAGAGAGAGAUAGAGAGAAUAUCAUCUGCUCUUCUUUAGCUGGUUGAAAUGUCAUCCUGAUGAACAUCAGCUUUGUACCUAAGAGGAACAAAAUUUACUACAAUCACGCAAACGUGUAAAUAUUUGUAUGAACACAACAAGAUUCAACAACUGAGACAUAAACUGAACAAGUUCCACAGACAUGUAACCAAAAUGGAAUAAUGUGUCCCUGAACAAAGGUGGGGUCAAAAUCAAAGUAAGUAUUAUGAGUAUGAGCAGUAUGAGCUACAUUAAGUACUGCAGUGCAUAUCCUCCUCAUGGACUGCACCAGAUUUGCCCGUCCUUGCUGUGAGAUGUUACCCGACUCUUCCACCAAAUCACCUGCAAGUUCCUGGACAUUUCUGGGGAGAAUGGCCCUAGUCCUCACCCUCCGAUCCAACAGGUCCCAGACAUGCUCAAUGGGAUUGAGAUCCGGGCUCUUCGCUGGCCAUGGAAGAACACAGAAAUUCCUGUCUUGCAGGAAAUCAUGCACAGAAUGAGCAGUAUGGCUGGUGGCAUUGUCAUGCUGGAGCGUCAUGUCAGGAUGAGCCUGCAAGAAUGGUACCACAUGAGGGAUGAGUAUGUCUUCCCUGUAACGCACAGUGUUGAGAUUGCCUCCACCUCCAAUCGAUACCGCUCCAGAGUACAGGCCUCGGUGUAACGCUCAUUCCUUCGACAAUAAACGUGAUUUUCAGUGUUUUUCAGAGUCAGUAGAAAGGCUCUUUAGUGUCCUAAGUUGUCAUAACUCUGACCUUAAUUGCCUACCGUCUGUAAACUUUUCAUUAAUUUUCAUUAAUUGUUUAUGGUUCAUUGAACAAGCAUGGGAAACAGUGUUAGAACCCUUUACAAUGAAGAUCUGUAAAGUUAUUUUGAUGUUUACGAAUUAUCUUUGAAAGACAGGGUCCUGAAAAAGGGAUGUUUCUUUUGUUGCUGAGUUUAGUGGGUGUAGUGAUUUUUAUUUGUUUGAAUGUAGACAGGGUUUCUAAAAAUCUAUUUAUAUCUGUGCUCACA